CCCUCCCCUCUGUCCUGGAGUUAAUUACCAAGUAACUCAAUUAACUCCAGGACAAGGACAGUCGCCAUUUUAGACAUAAAAUAAUAAAAGACAUAAAAAUACAUAACUACAUGAAAACUGAACAUUUCCCAUUCGUAUUACAUGUCCCCAGAUAGCCUGUAUCUGAGUGCAUAUUAUUAGCGAAUAGCGCUCAGAUCCCACACACAUAGUUCAAUCGCCAUGGAGUCAAAGUUCUUACAGUCUUUCGGUAUACGAAUGACUCCAUGGGAAGGCUAUCUGGGUUAAGUCUUUU